rnacentral:rRNA from 1 species
GAUGAACGCUGGCGGCGUGCCUAAUACAUGCAAGCCGAGCGAAUGGAUUAAGAGCUUGCUCUUAUGAAGUUAGCGGCGGACGGGUGAGUAACACGUGGGUAACCUGCCCAUAAGACUGGGAUAACUCCGGGAAACCGGGGCUAAUACCGGAUAACAUUUUGAACCGCAUGGUUCGAAAUUGAAAGGCGGCUUCGGCUGUCACUUAUGGAUGGACCCGGGUCGCAUUAGCUAGUUGGUGAGGUAACGGCUCACCAAGGCAACGAUGCGUAGCCGACCUGAGAGGGUGAUCGGCCACACUGGGACUGAGACACGGCCCAGACUCCUACGGGAGGCAGCAGUAGGGAAUCUUCCGCAAUGGACGAAAGUCUGACGGAGCAACGCCGCGUGAGUGAUGAAGGCUUUCGGGUCGUAAAACUCUGUUGUUAGGGAAGAACAAGUGCUAGUUGAAUAAGCUGGCACCUAGACGGUACCUAACCAGAAAGCCACGGCUAACUACGUGCCAGCCGCCGCGGUAA